CUAGCCCAACCAACCUCAAACUUAAGUGUUACAGGCAUAUAAAAUAGGACAUUUAGUUAAACCAAUUAAAGUAUAGGAGAUAGAAAUUUUAAUUGGAGCGAUAGAGAUAGUACCGUAAGGGAAUGAUGAAAGACAUCUUAACAGUAUAAAACAGCAAAGAUUACCCCUUCUACCUUUUGCAUAAUGAACUAGCCAGAAACAACUUAACAAAGAGAACUUAAGCUAAGUCCCCCGAAACCAGACGAGCUACCCAUAAACAAUCUAAAAGGAUCAACUCAUCUAUGUAGCAAAAUAGUGAGAGGAUUUAUGGGUAGAGGUGAAAAGCCUAACGAGCCUGGUGAUAGCUGGUUACCCACAAACAGAAUUUUAGUUCAACUUUAAAUUUACCUAAAAAAAAUAAAAUUUUAAUGUAAAUUUAAAAUAUAGUCUAAGAAGGUACAGCUUCUUAGAAUAAGGAUACAACCUUUAUUAGAGAGUAUAUACUGACACCAGA
rnacentral:rRNA from 1 species